rnacentral:rRNA from 1 species
GCCUCGGCGGAUCAGCCCGCGCCCCGUAAAAAGGGACGGCCCGCCCGAGGACCCCUAAACUCUGUUUUUAGUGGAACUUCUGAGUAAAACAAACAAAUAAAUCAAAACUUUCAACAACGGAUCUCUUGGUUCUGGCAUCGAUGAAGAACGCAGCAAAAUGCGAUAAGUAAUGUGAAUUGCAGAAUUCAGUGAAUCAUCGAAUCUUUGAACGCACAUUGCGCCCGCCAGUAUUCUGGCGGGCAUGCCUGUUCGAGCGUCAUUUCAACCCUCAAGCUCAGCUUGGUGUUGGGACUCGCGGUAACCCGCGUUCCCCAAAUCGAUUGGCGGUCACGUCGAGCUUCCAUAGCGUAGUAAUCAUACACCUCGUUACUGGUAAUCGUCGCGGCCACGCCGUAAAACCCCAACUUCUGAAUGUGACCUCGGAUCAGGUAGGAAU